UGCACCACGGGGGAGGAAGUCAGGGACGGACAUAGCGGAAGUGGCCGAGUCAUGGCUCCGGAGAGGAGCUGAGUGCCCGCGGUCGGGGAUGAGAAAGCUGGAGGAGGGUCUCGGUAGUCGGGAGCGGUGAGCUGUGUGGCCCCGGAGGAAUGGCUAAGCUGCAGGGCAUGGACUUCUGGAGGGAGACCCUGAAGGGAGCGCGCUAUGUGCUGGCCCCUAUGGUGGAUCAGAGUGAGCUGGCCUGGAGGCUCCUGAGCCGGAGACAUGGUGCCCAGCUCUGCUACACCCCCAUGCUGCAUGCCCAGGUGUUUGUACGAGAUGCCAAUUACCGGAAGGAGAACCUGUACAGUGAGGUGUCCCCGGAGGACCGGCCCCUCAUCGUCCAGUUUUGUGCGAAUGACCCUGAAGUGUUUGUCCAGGCCGCUCAGCUGGCGCAGGACUAUUGUGAUGCCAUCGACCUGAACCUCGGCUGCCCGCAAAUGAUUGCAAAGAGAGGUCACUAUGGAGCGUUUCUACAAGAGGAAUGGGAGCUGCUGGAAAAGAUGAUCCGGUUGGCGCACCAGAAGUUGUCUGUCCCCAUCACUUGUAAAAUCCGGGUGUUUCCUGAGGUUGAAAAAACCGUCACAUAUGCCAAGCUACUGGAAAAAGCUGGGUGCCAGCUUCUUACAGUUCACGGUCGCACCAAGGAGCAGAAAGGUUCCCUAACUGGGGUCGCUUCGUGGGAACACAUUAAAGCUGUGAGGAAUGCUGUCAGUAUCCCAGUUUUUGCAAAUGGGAAUAUCCAGUAUCUUAGUGAUGUGGAGCGGUGCCUUCAAGAGACUGGAGUCCAUGGAGUGAUGAGUGCAGAGGGAAAUCUUCACAAUCCGGCCUUGUUUGAAGGGAAGAGUCCCUAUGUGUGGGAGAUGGCAGAGGAGUAUUUAGAACUUUCCCAGCAGUACCCAUGCCCUUUGUCCUUUGUGCGGGCACACCUUUUUAAACUAUGGCACCACACUUUACAGGUUUACCAAGUGCUGCGGGAAGAGCUGGCAAAAGCCAAGUCCUUAGAAGGGAUCAUUGCUGUGAAUAAACAACUAAAGCUCAGGUGCCAGGAAGAAAUUUCUCAAAGGAAAGAAGAUGAAGUUGUCUCAGGGGAUUUACCUUUCCCUCACUGGAUCUGCCAACCAUAUGUCCGCCCACCGCCAAAAGAUGUCUUUACUGAAGAAAGUGGAGUACGAGGGAAGAGAGCGCUGGAGGAGGAGGAAGAUGGAAACUCUGAACACCUGUCAAAGAACAAGCAGAAGAAGAAACUCCGGAAUCCCAACAAAUGUUAUGACCCUUCUUUAAAACCCAAAUAUGCAAAAUGUGACCAGUGUGGGAACCCCAAGGGCAAUAAGUGUGUGUUCCAUCUGUGCCGCAGCUGCUGCAAGAAGGAAUCGUUCAGGGAGCUGGCCGACUGUGCAGGUCACGGGCUGCUUUUUAAAACCAAAUAUGAGAGAUCUCUUCAGUGUAAGGCUGCAACGGAUGAAGACGUCUCCGAUAAGAACCGGACAGAAUCAUCGCUCCCACAGCCACUCCCUGAGAUCAAAGCCUGAGUCCCAAACUGCUCGACACCUCUCCUAUCGCUCAGGGAAAUCUGCAGAGUUUACUACAUGUGUCUGGGACUCUCACUACCCCAUAGUGAAAGGCACGAAGGUACCAUCAUUGCCUUUUACAUAAUAUGCUGCUACUGGAUUUACAUCCUCUCCACCUUUAGGCUUCAACCUGGGACAGCGCGGUAAAGGACCCGGAUUCACAGAAGUAGUUGUGAACUUUCAAAAGGAAAUAUGAAAAAUAAAGAUCUUAUCUGCUUUUACCCCGUCUGUGUCUGAAUAUGUUCUGCUACGAAGUAUAG